CCAAAGGUUUGGUCCUAGCCUUCCCGUUAGUUCUUAAUAAAAUUACACAUGCAAGUAUCUACACCCCAGUGAAAAUGCCCUCCAAAUCACUAGUUGAUUAAAAGGAGCAGGUAUCAAGCACACUUUACAUAAGUAGCUCACAACACCUUGCUCAGCCACACCCCCACGGGAUACAGCAGUGAUAAAAAUUAAGCUAUAAACGAAAGUUUGACUAAGUUAUAUUAAUAAAGGGUUGGUAAAUUUCGUGCCAGCCACCGCGGCCAUACGAUUAGCCCAAAUUAACGGACAUCCGGCGUAAAACGUGUUAAAGAAUCUACUCACAUUAAAGUUAAAACUUAAUCAGGCCGUAAAAAGCUACCGUUAACAUAAAAUACCUUACGAAAGUAACUUUAUUAAUUCUGAUUACACGACAGCUAAGACCCAAACUGGGAUUAGAUACCCCACUAUGCUUAGCCCUAAACAUAAAUAGUUUAGUAUAACAAAACUAUUCGCCAGAGAACUACUAGCAAUAGCCUAAAACUCAAAGGACUUGGCGGUGCUUUACACCCCUCUAGAGGAGCCUGUUCUAUAAAUCGAUAAACCCCGAUAAACCUUACCACUUCUAGCUACUUCAGUCUAUAUACCGCCAUCUUCAGCAAACCCUCAAAAGGAAGCAAAGUAAGCAUAAUAAUCCCUACAUAAAAAAGUUAGGUCAAGGUGUAACCCAUGAAGUGGAAAGAAAUGGGCUACAUUUUCUAAACAAGAACAUUAUACGAAAGUUUUUAUGAAAUUAAAACCUAAAGGUGGAUUUAGUAGUAAAUUAAGAAUAGAGAGCUUAAUUGAAUUGGGCUAUAAAGCACGCACACACCGCCCGUCACCCUCCUCAAACGUCAAGAUUUAAAUCCAAUAUAUAAUCACAACAGACUAAACGCAAGAGGAGACAAGUCGUAACAAGGUAAGCGUACUGGAAGGUGUGCUUGGAUAAAC
rnacentral:ncRNA from 1 species